AAAACCAUCAAAGGGCAGGACGGGAGUUUGAGAGAAGAGUUCACCAUGGAAUUGGACACGUCAGCUACACAACUUCAUGUUAAUUCCACACCCCAACAUGCAAGCACCUCAUAAGUAUGUCCAAAAGAAUUUUGAAAGAUUGAAUGAUCUGCGUAGCUCGCUCGGUUAAGCGUUUCUUCAGUUCGGCCAACGCGUCUCUCAAGUACUCAAGCUCAGACAAGUUGAGGUUGUCCAUGGGGCCUUCCCACCAUGGAGUACUCUCAUGGUUAUCCCCAACCCUUUCCAGUUCUUCACUCUUUUUCUUCUCCUCCUCAAGCUGGAUAAGAAGCUCUGAAUACUCCCGGGUCAGCUCCUCAACAUUGGCUCGAUGGUAUCAUUCAAGAGGUUAAUGUGAGAGCUGCAAGAAAGAAGAACAAGUCUGCAAAUUGUUCGAAUAUAAAUGAUGGAAAGGGAAGGUCAUGGAGAGUGGAACUGAAGCAUAAGAAGGCCGAUGGCCAAGUCUACAUUCCAAAUGAUUGGACUCAGAUCUGUGCUACACAUGACUUUUAUCAAGGAAAGCAUCUGUGCUUCACAUGACUUGAUCAGGGAAAGCGGUACCUGCACUUUUGAGCUCCCUCACAAAGGCAUUGAGUCCUCCCUGUGCAGCCCAGUAUCACCCAUACUAGUAAUGGAAACCCCAACAUCAAAGACACGUUUGGUUCAGGUUUAAGAACCAACCGGAUCCUAUCAGAGCAGACCAUUUUCUCUCCAUUUCCACCCUUCCCCAACAUGGAAUUAGCUAAUGUUAACAUCUUUUUGAAUGUGAAAGAGGAAUAAUCAUUCUCUGAAUCUAGAAGAGAAAAUAUUGCCUGUGCCAGAACCAUCAGCGGGUUCAGGACGAGCCAUAGAAGCCCAGAGAUGAGAGCUAUGAAGAUCAUAGAACCCUACUCGAGUCCUAGCUAGGAAUGGUAAGAAACCAAAGUUCUAGAGAUGGUGAUGGUGGGCUUAUUUGUCCAUGCCUUGCUUCUUCAAUGUGUGUGUGUGUGUUUUUCCUUCUGGUCUAAAUAUUAUAUCGAGAAUCCAAUGUUGUAGAUCGAAGACCACAAACCUUCCUCACAUGGCUAAGCUAGUAAAAAUUUCUGCUUUAUAAAGAAGCCAGCUAGUAUAA